rnacentral:rRNA from 1 species
AUUGAACGCUGGCGGCAGGCCUAACACAUGCAAGUCGAGCGAGCGGCGGACGGGUGAGUAAUGUAUGGGGACUGCCAGAAAGAGGGGGAUACCUAAUGGAAACGGUAGCUAAUACCGCAUACAAUCGGACAACGCAUGUGGGAUUAGCUAGUAGGUGAGGUAACGGCUCACCAAGGCGACGAUCCCUAGCUGGUCUGAGAGGACGAUCAGCCACACUGGGACUGAGACACGGCCCAGACUCCUACGGAGGCAGCAGUGGGGAAUAUUGGACAAUGGGCGCAAGCCUGAUGCAGCCAUGCCGCGUGUAUGAAGAAGGUCCUAGGGUUGUAAAGUACUUUCAGUCGGGAGGCGUUACCGACAGAAGAAGCACCGGCUAACUCCGUGCCAGCCGCCGCGGUAAUAC